rnacentral:rRNA from 1 species
AUUGAACGCUGGCGGCAGGCCUAACACAUGCAAGUCGAGCGGAUGAAGGGAGCUUGCUCCUGGAUUCAGCGGCGGACGGGUGAGUAAUGCCUAGGAAUCUGCCUGGUAGUGGGGGAUAACGUCCGGAAACGGGCGCUAAUACCGCGUACGUCCUGAUGGAGAAAGUGGGGGAUCUUCGGACCUCACGCUAUCAGCUGAGCCUAGGUCGGAUUAGCUAGUUGGUGGGGUAAAGGCCUACCAAGGCGACGAUCCGUAACUGGUCUGAGAGGAUGAUCAGUCACACUGGGACUGAGACACGGUCCAGACUCCUACGGGAGGCAGCAGUGGGGAAUAUUGGACAAUGGGCGAAAGCCUGAUCCAGCCAUGCCGCGUGUGUGAAGAAGGUCUUCGGAUUGUAAAGCACUUUAAGUUGGGAGGAAGGGCAGUAAGUUAAUACCUGGCUGUUUUGACGUUACCAACAGAAUAAGCACCGGCUAACUUCGUG